GAACUGCGAUAAGUAAUGUGAAUUGCAGAAUUCAGUGAAUCAUCGAGUCUUUGAACGCACAUUGCGCCCCCUGGCAUUCCGGGGGGCAUGCCUGUCCGAGCGUCAUUGCUGCCCUUCAAGCCCGGCUUGUGUGUUGGGUCGUCGUCCCCUCCGGGGGACGGGCCCGAAAGGCAGCGGCGGCACCGCGUCCGGUCCUCGAGCGUAUGGGGCUUUGUCACCCGCUCGAUAAGGACCGGCCGGGCGCCAGCCGGCGUCUCCAACCUUUUUUUCUCAGGUUGACCUCGAAUCAGGUAGGAAUACCCGCUGAACUUAAGC
rnacentral:misc_RNA from 1 species